AAAGUGGGGGACCGCAAGGCCUCACGCGAAUGGAGCGGCCGAUGUCAGAUUAGCUAGUUGGUGGGGUAAAGGCCCACCAAGGCGACGAUCUGUAGCGGGUCUGAGAGGAUGAUCCGCCACACUGGGACUGAGACACGGCCCAGACUCCUACGGGAGGCAGCAGUGGGGAAUUUUGGACAAUGGGCGCAAGCCUGAUCCAGCCAUGCCGCGUGCGGGACGAAGGCCUUCGGGUUGUAAACCGCUUUCAGCCGGAAAGAAAUCGCCGUUUUUAAUACAGACGGUGGAUGACGGUACCGGAAGAAGAAGCACCGGCUAACUACGUG
rnacentral:rRNA from 1 species